rnacentral:rRNA from 1 species
UACGUAGGGUGCGAGCGUUGUCCGGAAUUACUGGCGUAAAGAGCUCGUAGGUGGUUUGUCGCGUUGUUCGUGAAAACUCACAGCUUAACUGUGGGCGUGCGGGCGAUACGGGCAGACUAGAGUACUGCAGGGGAGACUGGAAUUCCUGGUGUAGCGGUGAAAUGCGCAGAUAUCAGGAAGAACACCUAUGGCGAAGGCAGCUCUCUGGGACGGUACUGACGCUGAGACGCGAAAGCGUGGGGAGCGAACAGG